GGUGAGAUGGCUCAGUUGGUUAAGAGCAUUGACUGCUCUUUCAGAGGUCCUGAGUUCAAUUCCCAGCAACUACA
rnacentral:tRNA from 1 species